rnacentral:rRNA from 1 species
GCCAGACUCCUACGGGAGGCAGCAGUGAGGAAUAUUGGUCAAUGGGCUUACGCCUGAACCAGCCAAGUCGCGUGAGGGAAGACUGCCCUAUGGGUUGUAAACCUCUUUUGUCAGGGAGCAACGCCGGCUACGUGUAGCCGGACUGAGAGUACCUGAAGAAAAAGCAUCGGCUAACUCCGUGCCAGCAGCCGCGGUAAUACGUAGGGGGCAAGCGUUAUCCGGAUUUACUGGGUGUAAAGGGAGCGUAGACGGCGAUGCAAGUCUGAAGUGAAAGCCCGGGGCUCAACCCCGGGACUGCUUUGGAAACUGUAUGGCUGGAGUACUGGAGAGGCAAGCGGAAUUCCUAGUGUAGCGGUGAAAUGCGUAGAUAUUAGGAAGAACACCAGUGGCGAAGGCGGCUUGCUGGACAGUAACUGACGUUGAGGCUCGAAAGCGUGGGGAGCAAACAGGAUUAGAUACCCUCGUAU